GUGCCAGCAGCCGCGGUAAUACGUAGGUGGCAAGCGUUAUCCGGAAUUAUUGGGCGUAAAGCGCGCGUAGGCGGUUUUUUAAGUCUGAUGUGAAAGCCCACGGCUCAACCGUAGAGGGUCAUCGGAAACUGGAAAACUUGAGUGCAGAAGAGGAAAGUGGAAUUCCAUGUGUAGCGGUGAAAUGCGCAGAGAUAUGGAGGAACACCAGUGGCGAAGGCGACUUUCUGGUCUGUAACUGACGCUGAUGUGCGAAAGCGUGGGGAUCAAACAGGAUUAGAU
rnacentral:rRNA from 1 species